AACGAACGCUGGCGGCAGGCUUAACACAUGCAAGUCGAGCGCCCCGCAAGGGGAGCGGCAGACGGGUGAGUAACGCGUGGGAACGUACCCUUUACUACGGAAUAGCUCCGGGAAACUGGAAUGAAUACCGUAUGUGACCUUCGGGGGAAAGAUUUAUCGGUAAAGGAUCGGCCCGCGUUGGAUUAGCUAGUUGGUGGGGUAAAGGCCUAACAAGGCGACGAUCCAUAGCUGGUCUGAGAGGAUGAUCAGCCACAUUGGGACUGAGACACGGCCCAAACUCCUACGGGAGGCAGCAGUGGGGAAUAUUGGACAAUGGGCGCAAGCCUGAUCCAGCCAUGCCGCGUGAGUGAUGAAGGCCUUAGGGUUGUAAAGCUCUUUCACCGAUGAAGAUAAUGACGGUAGUCGGAGAAGAAGCCCCGGCUAACUUCGUGCCAGCCGCCGCCGUAACAC
rnacentral:rRNA from 1 species